UACGUAGGGUGCAAGCGUUAAUCGGAAUUACUGGGCGUAAAGCGUGCGCAGGCGGUUAUGCAAGACAGGUGUGAAAUCCCCGGGCUCAACCUGGGAACUGCAUUUGUGACUGCAUCGCUGGAGUGCGGCAGAGGGGGAUGGAAUUCCACGUGUAGCAGUGAAAUGCGUAGAGAUGUGGAGGAACACCGAUGGCGAAGGCAGCCCCCUGGGCCAACACUGACGCUCAGGCACGAAAGCGUGGGGAGCAAACAGG
rnacentral:rRNA from 1 species